rnacentral:rRNA from 1 species
UACGAAGGGGGCUAGCGUUGUUCGGAAUUACUGGGCGUAAAGCGCACGUAGGCGGAUCGAUCAGUCAGGGGUGAAAUCCCAGAGCUCAACUCUGGAACUGCCUUUGAUACUGUCGGUCUAGAGUAUGGAAGAGGUGAGUGGAAUUCCGAGUGUAGAGGUGAAAUUCGUAGAUAUUCGCAAGAACACCAGUGGCGAAGGCGGCUCACUGGCCCGGUACUGACGCUGAGGUGCGAAAGCGUGGGGAGCAAACAGG